UACGGAGGGUGCAAGCGUUAUCCGGAUUCACUGGGUUUAAAGGGUGCGUAGGUGGGUCUGUAAGUCAGUGGUGAAAUCUCCAAGCUUAACUUGGAAACUGCCGUUGAUACUAUAGACCUUGAAUGCUGUGGAGGUGAGCGGAAUAUGUCAUGUAGCGGUGAAAUGCUUAGAUAUGACAUAGAACACCAAUUGCGAAGGCAGCUGGCUACAGGGAUAUUGACACUGAGGCACGAAAGCGUGGGGAUCAAACAGG
rnacentral:rRNA from 1 species